GUGAGUCAUCGAGUCUUUGAAUGCACCUUGCACUCCUUGGUAUUCUGAGGAGCAUGCCUGUUUGAGUGUCAUUAAAUCCUCAACCCUGUCUGUUGGUCAGGGCUUGGACUUUGGAGUGUGCUGGCGAAGGUCAGCUCCUCUUUAAAUGCAUCAGCAGAGAAAAACAAACCUUUUUCCCCCUUCAGUGUGAUAACUGUGUUGCGUCUGUGGUUGUGAAAGGAUCUGCUCAUAAUCAUCCUUGGACAAACACUGAAUCUGUUUUGACCUCAGAUUCAGGUAGGACUACCUGCUGAACUUAAGCAUAUCAAUAAGCGGAGG
rnacentral:rRNA from 1 species